AGAGAGAAAUCCUAAAGCAGAUUGUAAGUUAAUUGCUCCGGUCUCAUUUUGUUCAUUUCAUUCUUUCUUUACACUAUACUGUAAGGUUUUAUAAUACUGAAUUUUUUAGAGAAAAUUUUCUAAAUGAGCAAAUGAAUCUUGAUCUGUCCUUAAAAAUUUUAAAUUUCCUUGCAACCUUGAGGCCUUAUAUUUUUGUCAUUAUUUAUAUUUCAGUUAUUAAAGCCCCCUCUAGACAAUGC
rnacentral:misc_RNA from 1 species